rnacentral:rRNA from 1 species
UACGUAGGAAGCAAGCGUUGUCCGGAAUUACUGGGCGUAAAGCGCGUGUAGGCGGUACGACAAGUCUGCUGUGAAAGCGCCCCGGCUUAACCGGGCGAGGUCGGUGGAAACUGUCGGACUGGAGGCCGGUAGAGGGGGGUGGAAUUCCCGGUGUAGUGGUGAAAUGCGUAGAGAUCGGGAGGAACACCGGUGGCGAAGGCGGGUCUCUGGGCCGAUACUGACGCUGAGGAGCGAAAGCGUGGGGAGCGAACAGG